UAGGGAAUAUUGGACAAUGGGUGCAAGCCUGAUCCAGCCAUGCCGCGUGCAGGAAGAAGGCCUUCUGGGUUGUAAACUGCUUUUGCCAGGGGAUAAAAAGCCCAUGCGUGGGAAAUUGAAGGUACCUGGUGAAUAAGCCACGGCUAACUACGUGCCAGCAGCCGCGGUAAUACGUAGGUGGCAAGCGUUGUCCGGAUUUAUUGGGUUUAAAGGGUGCGUAGGCGGUCUUUUAAGUCAGUGCUGAAAUAUCCCGGCUUAACCGGGAGGGUGGCAUUGAUACUGAAGGACUUGAGUUCAGUCGAGGUAGGCGGAAUUGACGGUGUAGCGGUGAAAUGCUUAGAUAUCGUCAAGAACACCGAUAGUGUAGACAGCUUACUAGGCUGAAACUGACGCUGAGGCACGAAAGUGUGGGGAUCAAACAG
rnacentral:rRNA from 1 species